AUUGCGAUCUCGCAACUCGAACGCUUUAGAUUGGAUUGUGUAUACGGGUGGUUGUUUUCUUUUAGUUUUGCUUUCGGUUUUUAAUUGAACGAGAUUUUAUUUUCGAGUGAUUUCAAUUUGAUGAAAUAGGAUCCGGGAAUUUAUUUUGUGAAAUAUUUUUUUAUUGAAAAGGGAAGCAACUUUGGGCUGAAAUAAAAGAAAAGAGAAUUACGUGUCUUUAGCCCCUCUCUCGAUAAAAACAAACAAGCCAAAAUGCCGAAGCCAAUUGCUAGCCAAGAGGAUGAAGAUCCAACCCCAUAUUUGUUCGUUUCGCUCGAACAAAAGCGUAUCGAUCAAUCGAAACCAUACGACUCCAAGAAGACCUGCUGGAUUCCAGAUGAAAAGGAAGGUUACUUGUUGGGUGAAAUCAAGGCUACCAAGGGAGAUAUUGUUUCCGUUGGUGUACCCGGUGGUGAGACCAGAGAUUUAAAGAAAGAUCUCCUACAACAAGUCAAUCCACCAAAAUACGAGAAAGCCGAAGAUAUGUCCAACUUGACAUAUCUUAACGAUGCUUCGGUUCUCCAUAACUUGAAGCAAAGAUACUACCAUAAGCUCAUUUAUACUUAUUCUGGUCUUUUCUGCGUUGCCAUCAAUCCAUACAAGCGCUACCCAGUAUACACAAAUCGUUGCGCCAAGAUGUACCGUGGCAAGCGUCGUAAUGAAGUGCCACCCCAUAUUUUCGCCAUUUCUGAUGGUGCCUACGUCGACAUGUUGACAAACCAUACAAAUCAAUCUAUGUUGAUUACCGGUGAAUCUGGUGCUGGUAAGACUGAGAACACCAAGAAAGUAAUUGCGUACUUUGCCACCGUCGGUGCGUCUGGCAAAAAGGAUGACCCUAACAUCAAGAAGGGAAAUUUGGAAGAUCAAGUCGUCCAGACCAAUCCCGUACUUGAAGCUUUCGGUAACGCUAAGACCGUCCGUAACGAUAACUCUUCCCGUUUCGGUAAGUUCAUCCGUAUUCAUUUCGGUCCAUCUGGUAAAUUGGCUGGUGCUGAUAUUGAAACAUACCUGUUGGAAAAGGCUCGUGUCAUCUCUCAACAAUCGUUGGAACGAUCCUACCACAUUUUCUACCAGAUUAUGUCUGGAUCCGUUGCUGGAGUUAAAGCCGAUUGCAUUUUAUCCAACGACAUUUACGACUACUACAUUGUGUCGCAAGGAAAAACUACUAUUCCUAGUGUAAACGAUGGUGAAGAAUUCGAAUUGACCGACCAAGCCUUCGACAUCUUGGGCUUCUCAUUGGAAGAAAAGCAAAACGUCUACAGAAUUACAGCCGCUGUCAUGCACAUGGGUGGCAUGAAGUUCAAGCAACGUGGUCGCGAAGAACAGGCUGAAGCCGAUGGUACCGAAGAAGGUGAACGUGUCGCCAAAUUGUUCGGCACCGAUUGCCAAGAAUUGUACAAGAACUUGUUGAAGCCCCGCAUCAAGGUCGGUAACGAAUUCGUCACCCAAGGUCGUAACAAGGACCAAGUAUCCAACUCCAUCGGUGCCUUGUGUAAGGGUGUGUUCGAUCGUCUCUUCAAAUGGUUGGUCAAGAAGUGUAACGAAACUUUGGACACCAAACAGAAGCGUCAACAUUUCAUUGGUGUACUGGAUAUUGCCGGUUUCGAAAUUUUCGACUAUAAUGGAUUUGAACAGUUAUGUAUCAAUUUCACCAACGAAAAAUUGCAACAAUUCUUUAACCAUCACAUGUUCGUUCUCGAACAAGAAGAAUAUGCACGCGAAGGCAUCAACUGGGCCUUUAUCGAUUUUGGAAUGGAUCUUCUCGCCUGUAUCGAAUUGAUUGAGAAGCCUAUGGGUAUCUUGUCCAUUCUUGAAGAAGAAUCUAUGUUCCCCAAAGCCACCGAUCAAACAUUCGCCGAAAAAUUGACGAACAACCAUUUGGGCAAAUCAGCUCCAUUCCGUAAACCAGCUGUACCCAAACCAGGCAAUCCAGCUGGCCACUUCGCUAUUGCCCAUUAUGCUGGUUGUGUAUCAUACAACAUUACCGGUUGGUUGGAAAAGAACAAGGAUCCGUUGAACGACACCGUUGUCGAUCAAUUCAAGAAAUCCACCAACAAAUUGUUGAUCGAAAUCUUCGCCGAUCAUCCAGGUCAAUCCGGUGGCGGUGAACAGGCCAAGGGAGGUCGUGGCAAGAAGGGUGGUGGUUUCGCCACUGUAUCUUCGUCAUACAGAGAACAGUUGAACAACUUGAUGACCACAUUGCGUUCGACACAACCUCAUUUCGUACGUUGUAUCAUUCCCAAUGAAUUGAAACAGGCUGGUGUCAUCGACUCUCACUUGGUAAUGCAUCAAUUGACCUGUAACGGUGUACUUGAAGGUAUCCGUAUUUGCCGUAAAGGUUUCCCCAACAGAAUGGUGUACCCAGAUUUCAAACUCCGAUACAAAAUUUUGUGCAUUAAAAAACUUGCCGAUCAGAGUAUCAAGCCGGAAAAAGCCGCAAAGAUCAUUUUAGAAACUAUCGGCUUACCCGAAGAACAAUAUCGAUUGGGUAACACCAAGGUAUUCUUCCGUGCUGGUGUCUUGGGUCAGAUGGAAGAGUUCCGUGACGAACGUUUGGGCAAAAUUAUGUCCUGGAUGCAAUCCUGGAUCCGAGGUUACUUGUCCCGUAAGGAAUACAAGAAAAUCCAAGAACAACGUUUGGCCCUCCAAGUUGUACAACGCAACUUGCGCAAGUACAUGCAACUCCGCACCUGGCCAUGGUGGAAAUUGUGGCAGAAGGUCAAGCCUUUGCUCAACGUCACCCGUGUCGAGGAUGAAAUCGCUAAAUUGGAAGAGAAGGCAAAGAAGGCUGAAGAUGCUUUGGCUGCUGAAGAGAAAGUACGCAAGGAAUUGGAAGGUCUUAAUGCCAAAUUGUUGGCCGAAAAGACUGCCCUAUUGGAAUCGUUGUCCGGCGAGAAGGGAGCCCUUCAAGAAUUCCAAGAGAAAACCGCUAAACUCCAAGCCCAGAAGAACGAUCUCGACAAUCAAUUGCGAGAUACCCAAGAACGUCUUUCCCAAGAAGAAGAUGCCCGCAAUCAAUUGUUCCAACAGAAGAAGAAACAAGAACAAGAGCUCUCCGGGUUGAAGAAAGACAUUGAGGACUUGGAAUUGUCCGUUCAAAAGACUGAACAAGACAAAGCCACCAAAGAUCACCAAAUCCGCAACCUCAACGAUGAGAUCGCCCACCAAGACGAACUCAUCAACAAAUUGAACAAAGAAAAGAAGAUGCAAGGUGAAUCGAACCAAAAGACUGGCGAAGAGCUCCAAGCCGCCGAAGACAAGAUCAAUCACUUGAACAAAGUGAAGGCAAAAUUGGAACAAACCUUGGACGAACUCGAGGAUUCCCUUGAACGCGAAAAGAAACUUCGCGGUGAUGUUGAAAAGGCCAAGCGUAAGGUUGAAGGUGACCUUAAGCUCACCCAAGAAGCCGUGUCCGAUUUGGAACGCAACAAAAAGGAAUUGGAACAGACCAUCCAACGCAAGGACAAGGAAAUCUCUUCCCUCACCGCCAAAUUGGAAGAUGAACAAUCCGUUGUACGCAAAUCCCAGACCCAAAUCAAGGAAUUGCAAUCCCGCAUCGAAGAAUUGGAAGAAGAAGUCGAAGCCGAACGUCAAGCUCGUGCCAAGGCUGAGAAACAACGUGCCGACCUUGCCCGCGAAUUGGAAGAAUUGGGUGAACGUCUUGAGGAAGCCGGUGGUGCCACAUCCGCACAAAUCGAACUCAACAAGAAACGUGAAGCCGAACUCAGCAAACUCCGUCGUGACUUGGAAGAAGCUAACAUUCAACAUGAAGGUACCUUGGCCAAUUUGCGCAAGAAGCACAACGAUGCUGUUGCUGAAAUGGCCGAACAAGUUGAUCAAUUGAACAAACUUAAAGCCAAGGCUGAGCACGAUCGUCAAAGUAUGCACAAUGAAUUAGUCAACACACGUACAGCCUGCGAUCAACUAUCUCGCGAAAAGGCCGCCCAAGAAAAGAUCGCCAAGCAACUUCAACACACACUCAACGAAGUGCAAGGCAAAUUGGACGAAACCAACCGAACCCUCAACGACUUCGAUGCUGGCAAGAAGAAACUCUCCAUCGAAAACUCCGAUCUCCUUCGUCAACUCGAAGAAGCCGAGUCCCAAGUUUCUCAACUCUCCAAGAUCAAGAUUUCUCUCACCACACAACUCGAAGAUACAAAACGUUUGGCCGAUGAGGAAUCUCGCGAACGUGCCACACUCCUGGGCAAAUUCCGCAACUUGGAACACGACUUGGACAACCUCCGUGAACAAGUUGAAGAAGAAGCUGAAGGUAAAGCCGACCUUCAACGUCAACUCAGCAAGGCCAACGCUGAAUCCCAAGUAUGGCGCUCCAAGUACGAAUCUGACGGUGUUGCCCGCUCGGAAGAACUUGAAGAAGCCAAGAGGAAGUUGCAAGCCCGUUUGGCUGAAGCCGAAGAAACAAUUGAAUCUCUCGGCCAGAAGGUCGUUGCCCUCGAAAAGACCAAGCAACGCUUGUCGACUGAAGUUGAAGACUUGCAACUCGAAGUCGACCGUGCCCAUGCUAUUGCCAAUGCCGCUGAGAAGAAACAGAAGGCAUUCGACAAGAUCAUUGGAGAAUGGAAACUCAAGGUUGAUGAUUUGGCUGCCGAGCUCGAUGCAUCACAAAAGGAAUGCCGCAACUAUUCCACUGAAUUGUUCCGUCUUAAGGGAGCCUACGAAGAAGGACAAGAACAACUUGAAGCUGUCCGCCGUGAAAACAAGAAUCUUGCUGAUGAAGUCAAGGAUCUCCUCGACCAAAUCGGUGAAGGUGGCCGCAACAUUCACGAAAUCGAGAAGGCACGCAAACGUUUGGAAGCUGAAAAGGACGAACUUCAAGCCGCUCUUGAAGAAGCCGAAGCAGCUCUUGAACAAGAAGAAAACAAAGUAUUACGUGCACAACUUGAAUUGUCUCAAGUACGUCAAGAAAUUGACCGUCGCAUCCAAGAGAAGGAAGAAGAAUUCGAAAACACACGCAAGAACCACCAACGUGCCCUCGACUCCAUGCAAGCAUCACUCGAAGCUGAAGCCAAGGGUAAGGCUGAGGCUCUUCGCAUGAAGAAGAAGUUGGAAGCUGACAUCAAUGAGCUUGAAAUUGCUUUGGACCAUGCCAACAAGGCUAAUGCUGAGGCCCAAAAGAACAUCAAGCGAUACCAACAACAACUUAAGGACGUUCAAACCGCCCUUGAAGAAGAACAACGCGCUCGUGAUGAUGCCCGUGAACAACUCGGAAUCUCAGAACGUCGUGCUAACGCCCUCCAGAACGAACUUGAAGAAUCCCGUACUCUUCUUGAACAAGCUGACCGCGGCCGAAGACAAGCCGAACAAGAAUUGGGAGAUGCUCAUGAACAACUUAAUGAAGUUUCUGCCCAAAACGCUUCCAUUGCCGCUGCCAAGAGGAAAUUGGAAUCCGAACUCCAAACAUUGCACUCCGAUUUGGACGAACUAUUGAACGAAGCCAAGAAUUCCGAAGAAAAGGCCAAGAAAGCCAUGGUUGAUGCUGCCCGUCUUGCCGAUGAACUCCGCGCUGAACAAGACCAUGCCCAAACACAAGAGAAACUCCGAAAGGCCCUCGAACAACAAAUCAAGGAACUCCAAGUCCGCUUGGAUGAAGCCGAAGCCAACGCACUUAAAGGUGGCAAGAAGGCCAUCCAGAAAUUGGAACAACGCGUCCGUGAACUCGAAAACGAAUUGGACGGUGAACAAAGAAGACACGCCGAUGCCCAGAAGAAUCUCCGUAAAUCAGAACGCCGCAUUAAGGAAUUGAGCUUCCAAUCGGAAGAAGAUCGCAAGAACCACGAACGUAUGCAAGACCUCGUAGACAAAUUACAACAAAAGAUCAAGACAUACAAGAGGCAAAUCGAAGAAGCCGAAGAAAUUGCUGCCCUCAACUUGGCCAAAUUCCGCAAAGCUCAACAAGAAUUGGAAGAAUCUGAAGAACGUGCCGACCUAGCUGAACAAGCCAUUAGCAAAUUCCGUGCGAAGGGACGUGGAGGAUCAGUAGCACGUGGAGGAAGCCCAACAAUUCACUAAAACUCAAAAAUGCUGUGUAGUAUAGUUGUAUAUGUGUAAAAAAAAGAAAACCAAGUCAUUAGGCAAUUUAGAUCAAUCAAAAAAAUCAUACAAUUGAACGCUACCAUGUCCGACCUAUAAAACAAACUAUUUUAAUUAUCCAGCAGUCGACAAAGGGCCGAAAGUGUGCGCUGGAUUAAUAUAAAUUUUCGUAACAUUUCCCCGACCGCCAGUGCGACCACAACUCGAUGGACUCUCUUUCCCACCUAGAUUCGACCUUGGCGGAGACAAUGAUUUCUUUAAUUAAAUUUACUUAAUUUUUAAAACUAAAUGUAAAUCAUCAAACCAAAAACAAAA